GGGCUGAUAGUUCAGGGGUAGAAUGCUCGCCUUGCACGCGAGAGGUCAGGGGUUCAAAUCCCCUUCAGUCCA
rnacentral:tRNA from 3 species